UGGGACAAUGGUGCUCUAGGGACAGGUAAAAGGGCAGAAUGGAGUCUCCAUUUUACAGAACAUGAAACUAAGGCUCACACAGAAUAUUCAGCCCAGAAGGAAGAGCUGCUCUGUUCACUGAGCUCAGGUUUUUUUGGGUUUUGUUUUGUUUUCCCACGCCCAGGCUGUUUGAUACCGGGGGGAGCUUAACACAGGCCCAAGGUGUCCCCAGCAGAGCAUGCAUUCUCUCGGAGAACCACAAAGGUGGGGUGGAACCCCUUGAUGUCGCCCUCCUCUCCGCGGAGACCUCCCCAGACAAAACAAACAAGCCCUUGGGUCUGGAGAACUGCAGCGGGGAGCGGAAACCAAGAAAGAUCAAAGACCCAGCGGUUACCCCCUUCCGGGCCGCGCAGCUUGGCAGCUUGCCCCGACCCCAGGCGGGCACCCACCGGCCCCUGGACGAGAUCUGAGCGAUCGGCUGACAGCUCGGGGCUCCAGGACACUUGCCGCCUCCAGGAGCGAGCUGGACCCACAAUGGCCCGAGAUGCGGAGGCAGGUCGUGGGAAGACUGAAGAGGUGCCGCGGCAGGAGCGCAGUAGACGCUUGCACCAGUGCCGCUGUGGACGCCUCCCCCUACCUCAGUUUCCCCACCUAUAAACUGGUAACUGCUGAAUCCUGUUAUGCCCGCUUCGAAGAAAUACAGUGGAGGGGAGGC
rnacentral:lncRNA from 1 species